rnacentral:snRNA from 1 species
AGCUUUGCGCAGUGGCAGUAUCGUAGCCAAUGAGGUUUAUCCGAGGCGCCAUUAUUGCUAAAAAUACCAUUGAAAGCUGUCUUUUCAACAGAAACAAUAAAAGGCAGAAUGCCAUAGAAUUACAAGUUUAAGGUACUGAAAUAUAUAA